rnacentral:siRNA from 1 species
ACUGUGAUCAUCAUCAAU